rnacentral:rRNA from 1 species
GACGAACGCUGGCGGCGUGCCUAAUACAUGCAAGUUGAGCGCUGAAGGUUGGUACUUGUACCAACUGGAUGAGCAGCGAACGGGUGAGUAACGCGUGGGGAAUCUGCCUUUGAGCGGGGGACAACAUUUGGAAACGAAUGCUAAUACCGCAUAAAAACUUUAAACACAAGUUUUAAGUUUGAAAGAUGCAAUUGCAUCACUCAAAGAUGAUCCCGCGUUGUAUUAGCUAGUUGGUGAGGUAAAGGCUCACCAAGGCGAUGAUACAUAGCCGACCUGAGAGGGUGAUCGGCCACAAUGGGACUGAGACACGGCCCAAACGCCUACGGGAGGCAGCAGUAGGGAAUCUUCGGCAAUGGACGAAAGUCUGACCGAGCAACGCCGCGUGAGUGAAGAAGGUUUUCGGAUCGUAAAACUCUGUUGGUAGAGAAGAACGUUGGUGAGAGUGGAAAGCUCAUCAAGUGACGGUAACUACCCAGAAAGGGACGGCUAACUACGUG